rnacentral:tRNA from 1 species
GGGGAUUUAGCUCAGUGGUUAGAGCACUUGCCUAGCAAGUGCAAGGCCCUGGGUUCAGUCCCCA